AAGUCGUAACAAGGUUUCCGUAGGUGAACCUGCGGAAGGAUCAUUAACGAAUAAACUUGGUGGACUGUCGCUGGCUCUCUAGAGAGUAUGUGCACGUCUAUCAUCUUUAUCUUUCCACCUGUGCACUUUUUGUAGACCUGGACGCGCUUUUUCUGAGGUAACUCAGUCGCGAGGAUUGUAGGCAUAUCACUGUCAGCUUUUCUUGAGUAUCCAGGGCUAUGUCUUUCACAUACACCAAUGAAAUGUAAUAGAAUGUAUUCAAAGGUCUUUGUACCUAUAAAAACUAUACAACUUUCAGCAACGGAUCUCUUGGCUCUC
rnacentral:misc_RNA from 1 species